GGUGGAUCCCGUGAAACGAAAACCUUACUACUGACUCAAUAAGCAUGCGCAGCGAUGGGCAGUUUGGUGGCGCGUGUAACGACGUGUCCGUAGAAACGUCACUUCGACGGUUUGUCGCCAUAGAUUAGGAAAUAAUAGAGACGCCUAGGAUGAUAAAAUAUAAAUAAGACAAUGUUCACACAGAUUUAAGAUCCGUAUCAUAGACUUGAAAUCUAUGCAAGGACAAUUAAACGUAAUGCUACUUUACCAACGCAAAUCACAAAGUCUGUUGCUUCAACAAAGUGUGUAACGGACAAUUUGGUCUACCGGUACUAUCAGCAUAUAAAUAAUUUAAUCUCAUUGCAAAGGGCAUUUUAUUGUUGUAGAAGUACUUAUAGUACUCUUACUUUCCUACUUGAUUUGUACAGUAGUUCAGACGCGUUCCGUGGGAGUCGCUAAAAUCAUGAAUACAGAACACGCUACAUAAAAUGUCAAUGAACCUGUCGGCAUAAGGUACCCAUUGAACGAAAUUGUACUUGUAAUCAAGGGUAUCAUUUGAAUACUAACGGAUCAUGUUAUAAACAUUAUAAGAGAAAACAUAGAAAAUGCAGUGGCCGUCAUUUAACCUUAUUUUAACGGAAAUAUUUUUAGCUUAUAUCAUAUAUUCAAUUUACAAGUUGUCGCUGUUAUUCGUGGCAUCAUCCUGUGAAGAAGGACGUCCGUGUUUGACAUCGUAUUUGAACGAGAAACCAUGUCUGCAGUUGCAAAUUUACAGUUCCGUGAACAUAUAUCCAAAUGAUAAGCAACUUAAUUUCGUUUACAGCACUGACGAUUUUAAUUAUACACAUCCAACUUCUUUUCCAGUGACAUUAAAUGUACCAAGAAGAACAAGAAACAAUGGCACAUUGUUUCUUCAUAUUGUUGUUGCACCCAGUUCUAAAAGAUAUAGCAAAAGUAUUAUCGAUAUGCAAAAGGAUCCAUAUACAUCCUAUACUGCUAUUCAGAUGACAGAAUACAUAAUACCUGAAGCAGAGGCAUUUAAUUUAUUAGGAGACAAAGUUAUAAAUGAGCAGAGAAAAAUAGAUAGUUUUAUGCAUCCUGUAACACAUAUAAAGAGUAUAACAUCGUUCAGGAUAAUGACUGAUAAUGUGCAGCUUUCUGCACAUGCUAUACCCUUGGAACUUGUGCAUCAUUUAAAACUUAUACAGGGCAGGAAGUUUUUACCUAUUGUUAAAAACGACUUUGUACAAAGCAGAUAUAGCGAUUUAGUGAGAAUUACACCUAAGAAUGAUACGGUUAAUAUUACAUUGCAAUAUUCUCCAAUAUCUCUUGGGAAAUUAAGACUGUUGUUACAAAUUGAACCCACUAUGGAGAACUUAAAGAAUCUCGGGUUUUCUGACAAAGAUGUAGAUAAAGUAAAAGGAAUUUUUGUAGAUACUAACAUAUAUAUUUUGGGAGGAACUUUCUUCAUUACAGCAAUUCAUUUGCUGUUUGAUUUUCUUGCUUUUAAAAAUGACGUCAGUUAUUGGAGGAAAAAGGAUAAUCUUGUUGGCCUAAGUAAAUGGACUGUGGUGAGAACAGGAUUUUGUCAGACUGUCAUAUUCCUCUAUUUACUAGAUGAAGGUUCCUCAUUGCUUGUUCUUGUACCUGUUGGAAUAGGAUCUAUUAUUGAGAUAUGGAAAUUACGGAAAGUAUUUAAACUUAGACGUAACGCGAGCAGUGAUAACGUAGCUGAAGCGAAAACAAGAGAAUUUGAUGCGGAAAGUACGCGAUACUUAAGUUACUUGUUAUAUCCUCUUGUUAUUGGUGGUGCAAUUUAUUCUUUGCUUUAUCAGCCACACAGAAGUUGGUACUCGUGGAGUAUAAAUUCGUUGGCGAACGGCGUUUAUGCGUUCGGAUUUCUACUAAUGCUUCCUCAACUGUUCGUGAAUUAUAAGUUGAAAUCUGUGUCGCACCUUCCAUGGAGGACUUUUAUGUAUAAAGCAUUUAAUACAUUCAUCGACGACGUGUUUGCAUUCAUAAUCGUUACACCUACAGCUCAUAGAAUAGCUUGUUUCCGUGACGAUGCAGUCUUUCUUAUUUACCUGUAUCAAAGAUGGUUGUAUCCCGUUGAUAAAUCUCGUCCAGGCGACGGAACAAUUGGCGAAGAAUCUGCGGACUUCGGGAGAUUAGAUAAAAAGAAAAAUUAAAAACAGGUUAAAGAUAAAGGUGUUAUAUAGGGAUAAACAUUUUCCACUGUUUGUGAUAUAGUGAGACUCUAACGAGUUACAAACGAGUAAAUCCAACAUGGAACGUAUACGUUAAUGAAACUUAUUUCAUUCAGUACAAUGAUUAAAAUUUAUCAUAUUACGAUGUCUACCAGAUUUUUAUUUAGCUAGAUAACGUAAUAGUGAUCCGUAUCUUGAGAUAAUGCGAAUUACCCAGCUACAUGAGAUAUGGUAGAAAACGACUAUCAUUCGAGUUAUACAAAGUGAAACAUACCAAAAUUGAUGUUGCGAGAUAAGUUUUUCGAAUGAUCAUUUAAACGAGAGUUUAAGUCGAGUAUUAGUCCGUUACGUAAUGUUUAACGAGAACAAUGUUCGUAUAGACAUAGCUCAGUGCAGCGAUACUAUAUACUACAACAAUGAUAGUAUGCCCUUGGACAUCCUCACGGUUAUCAUUUAAAUAGUAAUUGCAUUCAAAAGUCGAUAACCUUUUUUUAUCAUAUAUAAUUGCUGUUUUCCGUAAAGAAUGUGUAUAUCUGGACAUACUAUGAAUAGAAUUUGCUUAAUUUGUUGUUGAUAUAUAUACAUAUGUACAUAGUGUUGUGACUAAGCAAAACAUACAGUAGUUAUUGCUGUUAUUGGAAUUUACUAAGCUGU